rnacentral:ncRNA from 1 species
UUGAUGUAUGCGCAUAUGGGUGGACGAAAUUUUUCGGCCCUUACUCUUAAAUGAGUAGUGCAUAUUAAGGUCAG